rnacentral:rRNA from 1 species
CCCUUAGAUGUUCUGGGCCGCACGCGCGCUACAAUGAUGAAUUCAACGAGUUUAUAACCUUGGUUGAAAAGCCUGGGUAAUCUUUUGAACUUUCGUCGUGAUGGGGCUAGACCCUUGCAAUUAUUGGUCUCCAACGAGGAAUUCCUAGUAAACGCAAGUCAUCAGCUUGCAUUGAUUACGUCCCUGCCCUUUGUACACACCGCCCGUCGCACCUACCGAUUGAAUGGUCCGGUGAAAUCUUCGGAUUGAGACUUUGAUUUGUUUACUCAAAACGCUGCUUCAAGAAGUUGAUUAAACCUUACCAUUUAGAGGAAGGUGAAGUCGUAACA